AGGAUUAACGCUGGCGGCGUGCCUAAUACAUGCAAGUCGAACGGACCUUUAUUUUUGAGAACUCCUUUAUGGGAUGUCUCAUAAAUAAUGGUUAGUGGCGGACGGGUGAGUAACACGUUGGUACCUGCCCUCUAGUGGGGAAUAACUGGCCGAAAGGUCGGCUAAUACCGCAUGUGGUCGAAAGAUCAAAGCAGUAAUGCGCUAGAGGAGGGGCCUGCGUCUGAUUAGCUAGUUGGUAGUGUAAUGGACUACCAAGGCGACGAUCAGUAGCUGGUUCGAGAGGAUGACCAGCCACACUGGGACUGAGAUACGGCCCAGACUCCUACGGGAGGCAGCAGUAAGGAAUCUUCCACAAUGGACGAAAGUCUGAUGGAGCAACGCCGCGUGCAGGAUGACGGUCUUCGGAUUGUAAACUGCUUUUAUUGGGAAGAUUAUGACGGUACCAAAUGAAUAAGGACCGGCUAACUACGUGCCAGCAGCCGC
rnacentral:rRNA from 1 species